GGGUUGUGAGGUUAAGCGACUAAGCGUACACGGUGGAUGCCCUGGCAGUCAGAGGCGAUGAAGGACGUGCUAAUCUGCGAUAAGCGUCGGUGAGGUGAUAUGAACCGUUAUAACCGGCGAUUUCCGAAUGGGGAAACCCAGUGUGUUUCGACACACUAUCAUUAACUGAAUCCAUAGGUUAAUGAGGCGAACCGGGGGAACUGAAACAUCUAAGUACCCCGAGGAAAAGAAAUCAACCGAGAUUCCCCCAGUAGCGGCGAGCGAACGGGGAGGAGCCCAGAGCCUGAAUCAGUGUGUGUGUUAGUGGAAGCGUCUGGAAAGGCGUGCGAUACAGGGUGACAGCCCCGUACACAAAAAUGCACAUAUUGUGAGCUCGAUGAGUAGGGCGGGACACGUGGUAUCCUGUCUGAAUAUGGGGGGACCAUCCUCCAAGGCUAAAUACUCCUGACUGACCGAUAGUGAACCAGUACCGUGAGGGAAAGGCGAAAAGAACCCCGGCGAGGGGAGUGAAAAAGAACCUGAAACCGUGUACGUACAAGCAGUGGGAGCCUCUUAAUGGGGUGACUGCGUACCUUUUGUAUAAUGGGUCAGCGACUUAUAUUCUGUAGCAAGGUUAACCGAAUAGGGGAGCCGAAGGGAAACCGAGUCUUAACUGGGCGUUAAGUUGCAGGGUAUAGACCCGAAACCCGGUGAUCUAGCCAUGGGCAGGUUGAAGGUUGGGUAACACUAACUGGAGGACCGAACCGACUAAUGUUGAAAAAUUAGCGGAUGACUUGUGGCUGGGGGUGAAAGGCCAAUCAAACCGGGAGAUAGCUGGUUCUCCCCGAAAGCUAUUUAGGUAGCGCCUCGUGAAUUCAUCUCCGGGGGUAGAGCACUGUUUCGGCAAGGGGGUCAUCCCGACUUACCAACCCGAUGCAAACUGCGAAUACCGGAGAAUGUUAUCACGGGAGACACACGGCGGGUGCUAACGUCCGUCGUGAAGAGGGAAACAACCCAGACCGCCAGCUAAGGUCCCAAAGUCAUGGUUAAGUGGGAAACGAUGUGGGAAGGCCCAGACAGCCAGGAUGUUGGCUUAGAAGCAGCCAUCAUUUAAAGAAAGCGUAAUAGCUCACUGGUCGAGUCGGCCUGCGCGGAAGAUGUAACGGGGCUAAACCAUGCACCGAAGCUGCGGCAGCGACACUAUGUGUUGUUGGGUAGGGGAGCGUUCUGUAAGCCUGUGAAGGUGGCCUGUGAGGGUUGCUGGAGGUAUCAGAAGUGCGAAUGCUGACAUAAGUAACGAUAAAGCGGGUGAAAAGCCCGCUCGCCGGAAGACCAAGGGUUCCUGUCCAACGUUAAUCGGGGCAGGGUGAGUCGACCCCUAAGGCGAGGCCGAAAGGCGUAGUCGAUGGGAAACAGGUUAAUAUUCCUGUACUUGGUGUUACUGCGAAGGGGGGACGGAGAAGGCUAUGUUGGCCGGGCGACGGUUGUCCCGGUUUAAGCGUGUAGGCUGGUUUUCCAGGCAAAUCCGGAAAACCAAGGCUGAGGCGUGAUGACGAGGCACUACGGUGCUGAAGCGACAAAUGCCCUGCUUCCAGGAAAAGCCUCUAAGCAUCAGGUAACAUCAAAUCGUACCCAAAACCGACACAGGUGGUCAGGUAGAGAAUACCAAGGCGCUUGAGAGAACUCGGGUGAAGGAACUAGGCAAAAUGGUGCCGUAACUUCGGGAGAAGGCACGCUGAUAUGUAGGUGAAGCGACUUGCUCGUGGAGCUGAAAUCAGUCGAAGAUACCAGCUGGCUGCAACUGUUUAUUAAAAACACAGCACUGUGCAAACACGAAAGUGGACGUAUACGGUGUGACGCCUGCCCGGUGCCGGAAGGUUAAUUGAUGGGGUUAGCGGUAACGCGAAGCUCUUGAUCGAAGCCCCGGUAAACGGCGGCCGUAACUAUAACGGUCCUAAGGUAGCGAAAUUCCUUGUCGGGUAAGUUCCGACCUGCACGAAUGGCGUAAUGAUGGCCAGGCUGUCUCCACCCGAGACUCAGUGAAAUUGAACUCGCUGUGAAGAUGCAGUGUACCCGCGGCAAGACGGAAAGACCCCGUGAACCUUUACUAUAGCUUGACACUGAACAUUGAGCCUUGAUGUGUAGGAUAGGUGGGAGGCUUUGAAGUGUGGACGCCAGUCUGCAUGGAGCCGACCUUGAAAUACCACCCUUUAAUGUUUGAUGUUCUAACGUUGGCCCGUAAUCCGGGUUGCGGACAGUGUCUGGUGGGUAGUUUGACUGGGGCGGUCUCCUCCUAAAGAGUAACGGAGGAGCACGAAGGUUGGCUAAUCCUGGUCGGACAUCAGGAGGUUAGUGCAAUGGCAUAAGCCAGCUUGACUGCGAGCGUGACGGCGCGAGCAGGUGCGAAAGCAGGUCAUAGUGAUCCGGUGGUUCUGAAUGGAAGGGCCAUCGCUCAACGGAUAAAAGGUACUCCGGGGAUAACAGGCUGAUACCGCCCAAGAGUUCAUAUCGACGGCGGUGUUUGGCACCUCGAUGUCGGCUCAUCACAUCCUGGGGCUGAAGUAGGUCCCAAGGGUAUGGCUGUUCGCCAUUUAAAGUGGUACGCGAGCUGGGUUUAGAACGUCGUGAGACAGUUCGGUCCCUAUCUGCCGUGGGCGCUGGAGAACUGAGGGGGGCUGCUCCUAGUACGAGAGGACCGGAGUGGACGCAUCACUGGUGUUCGGGUUGUCAUGCCAAUGGCACUGCCCGGUAGCUAAAUGCGGAAGAGAUAAGUGCUGAAAGCAUCUAAGCACGAAACUUGCCCCGAGAUGAGUUCUCCCUGACUCCUUGAGAGUCCUGAAGGAACGUUGAAGACGACGACGUUGAUAGGCCGGGUGUGUAAGCGCAGCGAUGCGUUGAGCUAACCGGUACUAAUGAACUGUGAGGCUUAACCUUACAACGCCGAAG
rnacentral:rRNA from 1 species